AGGGUUUGAUUAUGGCUCAGGACGAACGCUGGCGGCGUGCCUAACACAUGCAAGUCGAACGGGGCUUGUUAUCCAGAAUUUUUCGGAAGGACGGAGAACAAGGCUAGUGGCGGACGGGUGAGUAACGCGUGAGUAACCUGCCUUUCAGAGGGGGAUAACGUUCUGAAAAGGACGCUAAUACCGCAUAACAUAUAGAGGUCGCAUGGCAGCUAUAUCAAAGGAGCAAUCCGCUGAGAGAUGGACUCGCGUCUGAUUAGAUAGUUGGUGGGGUAACGGCCUACCAAGUCGACGAUCAGUAGCCGGACUGAGAGGUUGAACGGCCACAUUGGGACUGAGACACGGCCCAG
rnacentral:rRNA from 1 species